rnacentral:rRNA from 1 species
UGGGGAAUUUUGGACAAUGGGCGAAAGCCUGAUCCAGCAAUGCCGCGUGUGUGAAGAAGGCCUUCGGGUUGUAAAGCACUUUUGUCCGGAAAGAAAUCCUUGGCUCUAAUACAGUCGGGGGAUGACGGUACCGGAAGAAUAAGCACCGGCUAACUACGUGCCAGCAGCCGCGGUAAUACGUAGGGUGCAAGCGUUAAUCGGAAUUACUGGGCGUAAAGCGUGCGCAGGCGGUUUGCUAAGACCGAUGUGAAAUCCCCGGGCUCAACCUGGGAACUGCAUUGGUGACUGGCAGGCUAGAGUAUGGCAGAGGGGGGUAGAAUUCCACGUGUAGCAGUGAAAUGCGUAGAGAUGUGGAGGAAUACCGAUGGCGAAGGCAGCCCCCUGGCCAAGUACUGACGCUCAUGCACGAAAGCGUGGGGAGCAAACAGGAUUAGAUACCCCUGGUAGUCCACGCCCUAAACGAUGUCAACUAGUUGUUGGGGAUUCAUUUCCUUAGUAACGUAGCUAACGCGUGAAGUUGACCGCCUGGGGAGUACGGUCGCAAGAUUAAAACUCAAAGGAAUUGACGGGGUCAUAGCUGUUUCCU